GCCGCGUCCGGCGGACGUGUCUCCGUGCUUGGUGUCACCCUGACCCGGUGGCUCUCCCCACCCUAACAUCCCUGAGAUGCCUCACCUCCUCCUCAGAUCUGUUACAGUCACUUCUCAGCGUCAGAACCAGUAUUCCUGAGAUCAGCACCCGGGGCAUCUCGACCUUGGCGUUACACCCUGGCCAUCCUCCGCUCCACCAGGCCAGCUCCUGGAGAGACCUGCCUAGCUCCUUUUCCUCUGGCCUCUCCUGUCUAAUGAAGCCUGACGGACAAACAAUUCUACUCAGAGCACCUGUAGACGGGCAUCACUCUCCACCUGCUCCUUGCCCUCACAGUGCUGGCAGCCUCCUGACACAGCAAGCGCCCUGCCAGAGGUCUGUCUCCUCCCCUAGACAACUUGCCACCCAACUAAAAUGCAAAUGGGCUCAAAAGCACUCCAUCCCCACUGGACCUUCUGAUCAUGCUAUGCAGCGCUAAUGAUCUAAAUGCUGAUCGGCCCUCUUGCUAUGGUGUGGCUCUUGAAGCCCCCAAUGUGUUGAAGGCCCCACGUGACCCUGGGAGCUGCUGGGACCUUUGGGAAGUGGGUCUUGUGGGAGGAAGUUAGGUCCCUGGCGUGUGCCCUUGGAGAGGGUAUUAAAGCCCUGCCCCUUCCUCUCUCUCCUCGCCGCCUGGUCACUGUGCGGUGAGAUGCCUCCCCCAAC
rnacentral:lncRNA from 1 species